AUUGAACGCUGGCGGCAGGCCUAACACAUGCAAGUCGAGCGGGGUUUUCGGACCUAGCGGCGGACGGGUGAGUAAUGCGUAGGAAGCUACCCGAUAGAGGGGGAUACCAGUUGGAAACGACUGUUAAUACCGCAUAAUGUCUACGGACCAAAGUGUGGGACCUUCGGGCCACAUGCUAUCGGAUGCGCCUACGUGGGAUUAGCUAGUUGGUGGGGUAAUGGCUCAACAAGGCGACGAUCCCUAGCUGGUUUGAGAGGAUGAUCAGCCACACCGUGACUGAGACCAGGUCCAGACUCCUACGGGAGGCAGCAGUGGGGAAUAUUGGCCAAUGGGCGCAAGCCUGAUCCAGCCAUGCCGCGUGUGUGAAGAAGGCCUUCGGGUUGUAAAGCACUUUCAGUAGGGAGGAAGGGUGUUGUGUUAAUAGCACAGCAUUUUGACGUUACCUACAGAAGAAGCACCGGCUAACUCUGUGCCAGCCGCCGCAGUAAGAC
rnacentral:rRNA from 1 species